UACAGAGGUCUCAAGCGUUGUUCGGAUUCAUUGGGCGUAAAGGGUGCGUAGGCGGCGCGGUAAGUCGGAUGUGAAAUCUCGGGGCUUAACUCCGAAACUGCAUUCGAUACUGCCGUGCUUGAGGACUGGAGAGGAGACUGGAAUUCAUGGUGUAGCAGUGAAAUGCGUAGAGAUCAUGAGGAAGACCAGUGGCGAAGGCGGGUCUCCGGACAGUUCCUGACACUGAGGCACGAAGGCCAGGGGAGCAAACGGG
rnacentral:rRNA from 1 species